rnacentral:rRNA from 1 species
GACGAACGCUGGCGGCGUGCUUAACACAUGCAAGUCGAACGGAAAGGCCCUGCUUUUGUUGGUUGCUCGAGUGGCGAACGGGUGAGUAACACGUGAGUAUCCUGCCCUUGUCUUUGGGAUAACUUCAGGAAACUGGGGCUAAUACCGGAUAUGAGCUCCUGCUGCAUGUUGGGGGUUGGAAAGUUUCGGCGGUUGGGGAUGGACUCGCGGCUUAUCAGCUUGUUUGUGUGGUAGUGGCUUACCAAGGCUUUGACGGGUAGCCGGCCUGAGAGGGUGACCGGCCACAUGGGGACUGAGAUACGGCGCAGACUCCUACGGGAGGCAGCAGUGGGGAAUAUUGCACAAUGGGCGGAAGCCUGAUGCAGCAACGCCGCGUGCGGGAUGACGGCCUUCGGGUUGUAAACCGCUUUCGCCGGUGACGAAGCGGGAGUGACGGUAAUGGGUAAAGAAGCACCGGCUAACUACGUG